GAUGAACGCUGGCGGCGUGCCUAAUACACGCAAGUCGAGCGAACGGACGAGAAGCUUGCUUCUCUGAUGUUAGCGGCGGACGGGUGAGUAACACGUGGAUAACCUACCUAUAAGACUGGGAUAACUUCGGGAAACCGUAGCUAAUACCGGAUAAUAUUUUGAACCACAUGGUUCAAAAGUGAAAGACGGUCUUGCUGUCACUUAUAGAUGGAUCCGCGCUGCAUUAGCUAGUUGGUAAGGUAACGGCUUACCAAGGCAACGAUGCAUAGCCGACCUGAGAGGGUGAUCGGCCACACUGGAACUGAGACACGGUCCAGACUCCUACGGGAGGCAGCAGUAGGGAAUCUUCCGCAAUGGGCGAAAGCCUGACGGAGCAACGCCGCGUGAGUGAUGAAGGUCUUCGGAUCGUAAAACUCUGUUAUUAGGGAAGAACAUAUGUGUAAGUAACUGUGCACAUCUUGACGGUACCUAAUCAGAAAGCCACGGCUAACUACGUG
rnacentral:rRNA from 1 species